UACGAAGGGGACUAGCGUUGUUCGGAAUCACUGGGCGUAAAGCGCACGUAGGCGGAUUUGUAAGUCAGGGGUGAAAUCCCGGGGCUCAACCUCGGAACUGCCUUUGAUACUGCGAAUCUCGAGUCCGAUAGAGGUGGGUGGAAUUCCUAGUGUAGAGGUGAAAUUCGUAGAUAUUAGGAAGAACACCGGUGGCGAAGGCGGCCCACUGGAUCGGUACUGACGCUGAGGUGCGAAAGCGUGGGGAGCGAACAGG
rnacentral:rRNA from 1 species